rnacentral:lncRNA from 1 species
CCGCCAUCUUCUUUUUCUCCGUCUCUACCGCCAUCUUCUCCUAAACCCUAAAAAUUAGAACCAACAAAACUUAAUUUCUGAGCCCCCUUUUGAUAUCUCCGAUUCGAUUUGAUUCGUAUCGAGAUCUGAGGACGCGAUGGGCCAUUUCAACCUCUCACGCUUCAUUGUCGCCAUUAUCCUCUGCGUCAUCGUCUCUGUUCCUUUCACUAAAGCAUGUCCAUCACAUCACUAUCAUAAAUGAGCAAUACCGGUGGAUUGCAUAUUUGUCAAUCUUCAUAGGAUUGCAUAUUCGAAUGAACUAGUUCAGGUUCUGGUUCUGGUGAAAUCUGUAAGCUUGAGGUUUGUUUCCUUCUACUUUAUGUCUCUAUGUUUGCAGUGUUACUGAUGUGAACCUUUUGGUUGGUCAAUUUUGUGUUUUGCUUUCUCCAAGAUUAUGACGAUUAGAUUGGGGAUUUAUGUGGAUUUGUUUCUGAUUGGAUUGAAAUUUUUUGAAAUUUACAGAAUUUGAUUUACUUGAUUUCAUGAUGGCUUUGCUUUUUGGUUCGUUGAGUUAUUACUAUGCUGUUUGAUCAAAAACUGCAAUGCAUUUUGUUUUUGUUAAGCAUGUAUUAUGAUUGGAUUUGGUUUUUAAAAAAAAUAUUUGAAGUGUAUGUAUCGAAAAUUAUAAUAUUCUAGGUGCAUUUUAAGUUGAUUUGUUGAGCAUCUCUCAUCAUGGUUGUGCUUUCUAGGUUCCUUAUUCAUUACAAUUGCAACAUCUUUAUCAGUAUAAUGCAUGAGUUAUUCUUCUUUCAUAAUUUGAUUUUGGUUGUGCUUAGAAACUAUAUUUAAAAGAGAUUAGCUCAUCAUUUGUUUGAUGACAGUAUUAGUUCUUUUGCUGCAACACAAGUUUAAAAGAGAUGGUAUUGAUGUUCAAAUGGGAUGUCGGGUUGUUAGUGUCUCUAAUAAGGAAAUCACAAUGAAGGUGAAAUCCAAGAUAGAGUCUCUGUACAACAUGUGUUGGUUGUGUGGUCUACUGGUAUUAGGACUCUCUAGUUGAGAGGGACUUAAUGAGACAGAUUAGGCAGGUUUGUUUCAUAACAUUUAUGCACAUACAAAGCCUGAGAAAUAUAGAAUUUACAUUUUAGUCAAUUGGUCUUUUACAUCGAGAGUUUUCCCAAUCUGCUUGGACUAAUAUGGCUGCUAUAUGGGUCACAUGCUUACUCAAGCAUAAUUUAUAUUCCGCUCCAUGUGUAGGCUGAUAAACGUGUUCUAUUCACUGAUGAAUGGUUGUAUGUAAAGGGUUGUGAAGAUAUGUAUGCAAUUCGUGAUUGUGCUUCGUCUUGGAACCAAAGAGCCAAGGUUUGCUGAUUUUUCUUUUUCACUUUUGAUUCAUAAUGUUCAC